rnacentral:rRNA from 1 species
AGUGAACGCUGGCGGUAGGCCUAACACAUGCAAGUCGAACGGCAGCACAGUAAGAGCUUGCUCUUACGGGUGGCGAGUGGCGGACGGGUGAGGAAUACAUCGGAAUCUACUUUUUCGUGGGGGAUAACGUAGGGAAACUUACGCUAAUACCGCAUACGACCUACGGGUGAAAGCAGGGGAUCUUCGGACCUUGCGCGAUUGAAUGAGCCGAUGUCGGAUUAGCUAGUUGGCGGGGUAAAGGCCCACCAAGGCGACGAUCCGUAGCUGGUCUGAGAGGAUGAUCAGCCACACUGGAACUGAGACACGGUCCAGACUCCUACGGGAGGCAGCAGUGGGGAAUAUUGGACAAAGGGCGCAAGCCUGAUCCAGCCAUGCCGCGUGGGUGAAGAAGGCCUUCGGGUUGUAAAGCCCUUUUGUUGGGAAAGAAAAGCAGCAGGUGAAUACCCCGCUGUUCUGACGGUACCCAAAGAAUAAGCACCGGCUAACUUCGUG